CGCUGACACGAUCUCGUCUCAUUCAAGGCAAAACAAGACACCUGGUUGCAAAGAUGGAAUGGUGCACGUUCAAAGCCACGACACCAGUACGGACGGAAACAAACUCAAAGUCGCAUGUUGUGCAGUAUAUUGGCAGUGGCACAUGCUUUCAUGAAUACAUCAGCAAUGGCUGGUUUAUUGUCACGGGACAUCCGGUUAUGAACAUUCAAGAAGACCAUCUGAUGCCAUAUGAUGAAUGCAAACUGCUUGAUGCCAGUGAUUGGUUAGCUGAAAUACCCAGUCUUAAAACUGGCAGUUCCCAUCACUCAGUAGUUUGGAUGCCUUGCCUCGUGGAUGGACAGCUCAAUGUUUGCUUUGCUGCCUCCUUCGAAGCUUGUACAAGAAAUUCGUCCUUGGAUGGUUGUCCCCCAAUGAAGAGUGCGGAGAAAAGAGUUCUGCUUGACCACACAAACAUGUGUGAUUUUAAAGCAGACAACAUGUGCUCAUGAAGAAUGUUCAGCAAGGCGACGACUUAAACUGGAUUCGACACCAGUCAUUUACUCCAACAGAUGACACCGGCCCGGAUUUCGACCAUACACUAAAAAAAGUUUUUGCAAUGAUGUUUAGGAGGAUACAGUAUAUAAAAGGGAACUACAUGUUCAUCGAGUCAAGCACCCCUCGGGUCCAGAACGAGACGGCCUGGCUGGUGAGUCCACUUAUACAGUCCCCGGGAACCCAUUUCCAGUGCUUCCAGUUCUGGUAUCACAUGAAAGGUUCGUCGGUGGGUCAGCUGAACGUGUACCAGAUACAAAAUGGCCUCCUCACAUGCAAUCUCGUCUGGAGUUUGUCCGAGCAACAGGGCCCUGAUUGGUUGUCUGGGCAAGUUCCACUUAACGCUACAGUGGGGUACAAGGUAUUCUUUGAUGCGUUUUAAGUGUCUUCGCAUUGAUAGCGUUUUCGGAUGUUGGUAAGAAGAUAGUUGUUGACAAUAUGCAAAGUUAAUAUCAAUAAUUUUUGUAUUACGCGAUUGUUAAUUAAGAAUUAGUAAAGGCUAAAGGGAACGGUUACGAGGGUGACAUAGUAGUUAACGACUUCAACCUGACCACAUGAUUCUGUUCAUCACUGCCCGUGAAGGCUUCCAGAACUAAUCUUACAAACACAGGUGGGACACGGUCACUGUCUCGCAUAAAAAUCCUUUAGACAUAUUUGAAUUUUUUUAUUGAAUAUCUUAAGGAGUUUCAGUGUGUACUUGUUGCUUGCAACCUCAACCUGUAGAAGAUGCAGAGAUAUGAACAUGUUGCAAACUUGCAAACUUAAGCCUGAACAUGCACACAAUGUUGAGUCAUGAACAUUAGCGCAUCAGUUGUAUGUGGCUUAACAAUGUUGAGUCAUUAACACCAUCGCGUCAGUUGUAUGUGACUUUACAAUGUUGAGUCAUUAACACCAUCGCCCUAUUACCAUAUAGAAUUUCAUUGUUAAGUUAUUGACACCAUGGCAUCAUUAGUAUGGAACUGUAGACUGUUAUGCUAUAAACAUCACUGCGAUAUCAGCACGGAACUGAACUAUGUUUAGUGAUUAAAACCAUUGCAUCAGUAGCAUGGAAAUGUACCCUGUUAAGUCGUUUACACCAUCGCAUCAGUUGUUUGGGAUCGCACAAUGUUUAGUCAUUAACACCACCGCCAUGGUAGCAUGGAACUUAACCAUGUUAAGUCAUAAACACAAUCGCAUCAGUAGUAUUAAAUUGUGUUUAUUGGUUACAUUAUCGCACUAGGAGCGUGAUACGUUUUGUUGGUUACUCGUUAAAUUUUUGCGCAAGUAGCAUGGAAAUGCGCUUUACUAGUAAAUAUUGUCACACUAGUAGAACUGUACAGUUCAUUUACUCUUUCUUCCUAGGUAAGAUUUCACUAUGAAAAAAUGUUUUAACUAUGUUUGAAAAUUAAGCCGCAGUUAGUUGUUACGCCCUAUGCCGCAAAAUAAACCAUGCGUUGAGCAAGUGUUAAUUCGAAAUCCCACAACAAAAGAUUUGAAAGGGGCAAUACUGGUGUCACCGUUUUGUUUGGUCUGUCAGUUGGUCUUAUACUAAAAAUAACACAAGUUUACGUCUGUUUGUCUUUGUUUAUUUAUGACCACCAAACCUUAUCUAGUAAGGAACUAAACAUCAUUUACACCAUCACACCAGUAGCAUGGAACUGCAUCUUUGUUAAUAGCUAACAUUAUUUCACUAGCAGCCCUGGUACUGUACGUUGUUUACGUGUUAAACCAUCGUACCAGUAGCAUUAAAUGCGGCUUGUUGCAUUGUUAAACACUAUCACCUACGUGUAAUGGUAUUAAACGUUGUUUACUCACUUACAUAAUGAAACUAGUAGCAUGAAAUGUAAGUGUUUGUUUUUUAACGGUACGCUGGUUACUCGUAAGCAUCAUCGCACCAGUGGUAUAGAAGUGUUUAUCAUUUUUUCAUGAAUAAAAUCGGCAUCGCAUCAGCAAAUACACUGUGUUUAAUGAUUAACUGAAUCAUGUUCACUAAUUGACUCAUCAUGAUAUUCUCUUUUAUGUUUUCCAGGCACUUUGUCCGCCCAACAGCGGCUCCGCAUCCUUUCCAGUGCACAGUGUGUAAAGUCAACCCGCAGCUGUGCUUUGUCCUCACCAAGGUGGAGAUGUAUCCUGACUCCUACUGUAUCAAUGAAGUCACAAACAAGGAAGACGGCGCCAAAUGGGUUGACAGAAUGCACGUAAUGCACCCCUCUGCUAUAACUUGUUCGAACGUUAGACCUGCCAAUCUUAAGAAAAAUCGUGUUACCACUCGAGUCAUCAAUAAAGCGUACGU